GCUUGGCGUGGUGGCACAUGCCUGUAAUCCCAGCUACUCAGGAGGCUGAGGCAGGAGUAUCAGGAGUUCAAAGCCAGCCUCAGCAACAGUGAGGUGCUAAACAACUCAGUGAGAUCCUGUCUCUA
rnacentral:sRNA from 1 species